GGCUCUAUGGUCUAGUGGUAUGAUUCCUGCUUUGGGUUCUUCAUUCAAAGCUGCAGGAGGCCCGUAAGUUCUGCGUUGUUCCGAGGACUAAAAAUAUACAAACGCUAACCAAGUACACAGCGCGUUCGAAUCGCGGUGGAGCCC